UACGUAGGGUGCGAGCGUUGUCCGGAAUUACUGGGCGUAAAGAGCUCGUAGGUGGUUUGUCGCGUUGUCCGUGAAAACUCACAACUCAAUUGUGGGCGUGCGGGCGAUACGGGCAGACUGGAGUACUGCAGGGGAGACUGGAAUUCCUGGUGUAGCGGUGGAAUGCGUAGAUAUCGGGAGGAACACCUGCGGCGAAGGCGGGUUGCUGGGCUGACACUGACGCUGAUGCGCGAAAGCCAGGGGAGCGAACGGG
rnacentral:rRNA from 1 species